rnacentral:rRNA from 1 species
GACGAACCGUGCGAACGUUGUUCGGAAUCACUGGGCUUAAAGGGCGCGUAGGCGGGUGUGCAAGUCUGUGGUGAAAGCCUCCAGCUUAACUGGAGAAGUGCCAUGGAUACUGCACAUCUUGAGGAGGGUAGGGGCAUCUGGAACGGUCGGUGGAGCGGUGAAAUGCGUUGAUAUCGACCGGAACUCCGGUGGCGAAGGCGGCUUUCUGGCCUGUUCUUGACGCUGAGGCGCGAAAGCUAGGGGAGCAAACGGG